UACGGAGGAGGCGAGCGUUAUCCGGAUUUAUUGGGUUUAAAGGGUGCGCAGGCGGCACGGCAAGCCGGCGGUCAAAUCGCGGGGCUCAACCCCGCCCAGCCGUCGGAACUGCCGGGCUAGAGUGGGCGAGAAGUGCGCGGAAUGCGUGGUGUAGCGGUGAAAUGCAUAGAUAUCACGCAGAACUCCGAUUGCGAAGGCAGCGCACCGGCGCCCUACUGACGCUCAGGCACGAAAGCGUGGGUAUCGAACAGG
rnacentral:rRNA from 1 species